rnacentral:rRNA from 1 species
UACAUGGGGUGCAAACGUUGCUCGGAAUUAUUGGGCGUAAAGCGCGCGCAGGUGGUUUCUUAAGUCUGAUGUGAAAGCCCACGGCUCAACCGUGGAGGGUCAUUGGAAACUGGGGAACUUGAGUGCAGAAGAGGAAAGUGGAAUUCCAAGUGUAGCGGUGAAAUGCGUAGAGAUUUGGAGGAACACCAGUGGCGAAGGCGACUUUCUGGUCUGUAACUGACACUGAGGCGCGAAAGCGUGGGGAGCGAACAGG